rnacentral:rRNA from 1 species
GAUGAACGCUGGCGGCGUGCUUAACACAUGCAAGUCGAACGGAAAGGCCCAAGCUUGCUUGGGUACUCGAGUGGCGAACGGGUGAGUAACACGUGGGUGAUCUGCCCUGCACUUCGGGAUAAGCCUGGGAAACUGGGUCUAAUACCGGAUAGGACCACAUUCUGGAUGGUGUGGUGGAAAGUUUUUCGGUGUGGGAUGAGCUCGCGGCCUAUCAGCUUGUUGGUGGGGUAGUGGCCUACCAAGGCGUCGACGGGUAGCCGGCCUGAGAGGGUGUACGGCCACAUUGGGACUGAGAUACGGCCCAGACUCCUACGGGAGGCAGCAGUGGGGAAUAUUGCACAAUGGGCGGAAGCCUGAUGCAGCGACGCCGCGUGGGGGAUGACGGCCUUCGGGUUGUAAACUCCUUUCGCUAGGGACGAAGCGCAAGUGACGGUACCUGGAGAAGAAGCACCGGCUAACUACGUG